GAAAGUUAUUGUAGAAUUAUGAAAGACUGGUUUUAAAUAUUAGGUAAAGACAAUAUUAUAUUAAAAACUUGUUAUGGUACAAUGUUAAAAUCUAUUUGCAAAAUUAGACUGAAUUUUGUUUGCAAAGUCCGAGAUAUAAAAGUACACAUGCUUGUAAAUAUAUUUUGGUCAAUCAAGGCUAUAUUGAUAAUUCUAACAUGACGUCCUGCACACGCUUUGAAUACACACCCGUGGUAAACUAUAAAUAUAUUGUUUGGGCUGUUCCGAUCGUACUCCCACGUUAUAUGCUUUUUUUAUGAAUGAGCUAUUCGACGUCAUAAAUCUUUCACGUUAGAAUAUGAGCAUUUUUCGGGAAAAUACACGAUUGUGAAACCGAAAAUCAUCACAAACAAGGAAACGUAAACAAAGGAUGAUAAAAUGUGUUAUAUAAGCCAUUUUUUGUAUACUUAUAAGACAUAUAAGUACAAUUGUCAUUUAGAUUCAUCCAAACCUAUCUAAAUAAUUAUUGUAAAUAGUUAAAGCAUGUCACUUAUUCAGUUUGUUCCGUUCUUUUACGUCAAUUGAUAGUGCGUUUAUUUAUGGGAACAGCAAAUAAUGCCUUAACCUAGAGCUCUUCGAUCCAAA
rnacentral:lncRNA from 1 species